rnacentral:lncRNA from 1 species
AGGAGCUUGGUUUGGUGAUUGAUUUUGGUCAUAAAAAAUGUAAUGCUUAUAUAAUAAAACUAAGAUCUAUUAGAUCACACACAAGUCUAGAUUUUUGAGAGUCUACAAUUUGGUUUUUAUUUGUCAGAUGCAAAAAACAGGGUUCCUUUUCUUAACUCUUAAUUUUCCUUUCAAAAUAUUACUAAAAGUUUUUCAGCUUCUCAUAAUAAGCUUGUCCAUGUAAAUACAUUGUAAAUAUAAAAAUUAAAUACCUGACUGAAAGAAUUUUAGGGUUGAAAGAUUUAUUUUGGCCCAAGAGUUCAUCGUAGUGAGAGACACAGUAAAGCAGCACUGGACCUGUUGGGCAGGAAGACCAGGGAAAAAGCCAAAGUCAAGAACAAAGCCCCAGGUCCCAGCUUUGAACUGGGUCAUAAAAGAUAACAGGAAUUAUUCAGGUGACUGUGAUAUACUCAUGGCAUGCUCUGGAAGCUAUAAACAUGUGCAGUCAAGAUGGACUGUUGUUUCUAAGGUUGGUGGAGCUAUAUUUUUAAUAGAAGAAUUUGGGUUAGGAUUGCUUUGGUGUUUUUGUUUUGGUUUGGUUUUGGUUUUUGUUUGGUUUUGUUUUAAACUUUGAAGCCAAGAAACUGGCAGAUUUAAGUUGGGAAAGGUAGGAACUUUGUGGAGAAGGAAAAACUAGGGUGGACAAUUAAGUCGAACUUGUCAGGAGAACUGGGCAGUACUGAAGGACAGACAGACUCGGUGGAGACUUCCCUUUGAAGUUGCUUGACUGAGAAAACUCCAGUCCAUGACAACUGAGAACACAAGGAGGCACCACUAAUGUUAAUUAGUGCAUAUGUUGAAUUAUAUGAACUAGUCAUAGCUAACUACCAAAGUCCCACUGGGUAGUUUGUUUAAGCAAAUGAAACUCAUUUUGAGCUCCUCAACCUGAGAGAGUGAAUCAGGACAUUGGCACGGUAAAGUUUGGGGUCCUCUAGGUUUCAGAAAUUGGUUGUAUUGAUCAGCCAGGAUUGAGAACCAUGGUUUUGUUAUCAUCCCCCACCCCACCCCACCCCACCCCUGCCAUGACUAUAUGGAGAGCACCCAGGCCCAUGGGUCCUAUGGGAGAGGAAGGAAGAAUAGACAUUCUCGACUUUGGACAGCCCCUGGGCUUUAUGGUUCUCCAAGCCUCGAGAAUUAAGGACAGACUGGUUAUUUUUUCCCUAUAUGUUUAACUAGGAUGCAUGAAAAAAAGAAAUACCCUGAAUUUGGAACAGGAUCCGAUUUGAGUGUGUAUGGGGGAGGCUAGGAAAGAAUCAUAAGAUCGACGCUAGAACCAAAUGCAGACAGCUGGCAUUAGCGGCAAGACCACUGGGCUCCAAGAUCUGAGUUCCAUUCAGUAUUCAAGGUGGAAUGUCUCUUUGCUUCCUGAAUCACCUAGCUAUAACUAAGAAUAAAGGAGCCUCUUUAGUCAACCUCAGUAUUCAGUCCCUUCGUAGCAAUUAUGUACUUGGAACUUUAACCUCUUUGUGUUUUGGUUUCUAGAAUAGGAUUGGUGGGUGAAAGAUCUGAGGUAUCAUAUGCAAAAGAAUGACUUAAGUACCAGGCACCUGAUAUACUUAGCUUCCUAGAGCUGCAUAAACAGAACUUGGGUCCCUGACGUAGACCAUCCAGAGUACAAACAGGACUCAGGAGUAGGAGCAGGAGACACGUGGUCAGGUAGAAUGACCAAUGCCAGAAGCUGUAUUUGGAGUCCUUAAAGUGUUAAUUUGUCUCAUUACUUCCAAACUUUUUCAAUGUUUCAUGGGCUGUUCCUAAGGCUUGCUGUGUAAAAUCUGGUCUGUCUAAGGAGCCUGUGCGUGCUUGUAUCUCUGAGCUUAGAACAGCUUUUUGUUGUCUACUUGGCAGGCUAUGGGGAGCAGGGAGCUUGGUAUGUUUGCCUGGGUGGUGUAGAGUUACAUAGCAGAAAACCUAGAGUUCUUUAGGUGGGAGACAAGCUUUCUACUACAAGUAUUUUCCUUUUAUACUUAAUUGCUGUUGGGUAAAUAUCGUGGAACAGACAAAAGUUACAGCCCAACUCUUUUUUUUUUUUUUUUUUGGUGGCAGGAUUUCUCUGUAUAGAACUGGAUCUGCCCCACCUCUGCCCCCUGAGUAUUGAGAUUAAAGGCAUACACCACCACUAUCCAGUUUACAGCCCAACUCUUAAGUGUUUUGUAACCCACGUCUUUCCUAGUCUAUUGAAAACUGACAGUAAGAAGUUUGAGGGGCAGGGUUGGUUUUGCUUUAGCUCCAGAGACUGGUGGUAGAAGACUCAGUUAACUGCAAUAGUCACAUUUGAGGAAAUGGACAUCUGGGCUCCAUAUGUUACAAUGAUUUACAAAGAGUUAGUACUGUCUUCGUUGGUGACCCUCAGGCCUCAGUAAAUAGGGGGUAAGGAACACCUGAAAAAGGAAAAGUCCAGCAUUUCUGCUGCUCAUCUGACCACAGUUUGCAUACUAUAGCAAAACAAAAAUAAAAUCAAAACCAAAACCAGCCAGCCAUGGUGGAGCAACUCCUUUAAUCCCAGCACGCGAAGGCAGAGGCAAGUAGGUGGAUCUCUCUGAGUUCCAGUCCACCGCAGUCUACAGAGUGAAUCCCAGGACAGACAGAGCUACAUAAUGGAGAUACCCUGUCUC